GACGAACCGUGCGAACGUUGUUCGGAAUCACUGGGCUUAAAGGGCGCGUAGGCGGCUGUCUGCGUCCGGGGUGAAAUCUUUCGGCCUAACCGGAAAAGGGCCUCGGAUACGGGAUAGCUGGAGGGGGGUAGGGGCAGCUGGAACUUCCGGUGGAGCGGUGAAAUGCGUAGAGAUCGUAAGGAAGACCAGUGGCGAAGGCGGGUCUCUGGACAGUUCCUGACACUGAGGCACGAAGGCCAGGGGAGCAAACGGG
rnacentral:rRNA from 1 species